rnacentral:rRNA from 1 species
AGGGGGCAUGUGCACGCUCUGUUCACACAUCCACUCACACCUGUGCACCCUCUGUAGUUCUAUGGUCUGGAGGAUGCACCGUCUUCCUUCUGUAGUUCUACGUCUUUACACAUACGCCCUAGUGAAGUUUUAUGGAAUGUGUGCCGCGUCUAACGCAAUACAAUACAACUUUCAGCAACGGAUCUCUUGGCUCUCGCAUCGAUGAAGAACGCAGCGAAAUGCGAUAAGUAAUGUGAAUUGCAGAAUUCAGUGAAUCAUCGAAUCUUUGAACGCACCUUGCGCCCCUUGGAUAUUCUGAGGGGCAUGCCUGUUUGAGUAUCAUGAACACCUCAACUCCUCAUGGUUUGCCGUGAUGAGCUUGGACUUUUGGAGGUUUUGCUGGCCCUGCUGUCGGCUCCUCUCAAAUGGAUCAGCUUGCCAGUGUUUGGUGGCGUCAUGGGUGUGAUAACUAUCUACGCUUGUGGCCGUCUGCCAGGUA